AAAAACUGAAAUCUAUCGAAAGAGAGAGAAAGAGAGAGAGAGAGAGAGAAUUUGGUAGCUCCAUUUCCAAACCAACUAACCCACGAGAGAACAGAAAGCAAGCAACCGAAAUCAAUCAAAAACCAUCUCAGAUUUCCCUUGAUUUCCCCCUCCUUUCUACUCUAGAUCCCAAUCUUUCUAGGGUUUCAUUCUUCUUUCUCUGCUUUUCUCAGAAGAACAGAGGAAGAAAUCAGAUAUGGUGGAGAGGCAAUCCUUCUUCAGUCGGCUGCCGGAGGAACUAACGGAGAGGAUCCUGGCCCACCUCCCCAUCUCCGCCGUGUUCCGCUGCCGCUGCGUAUGCAAGCAAUGGAACUCCUUGCUAACAUCCAAUUCCUUCCUGGACCUCUGGGGUAAGUUCUCCCCUAGAGACGUCUGGUUCCUCGUCUACCACACGCGCCACAUGGUCGCUGCUUACAGUCCUCGUUCCGGUCUCUGGAACAAUCUCCCUCUGUACGAUCGGUGUUCUCUCGACUCCUCUCAGGUCCUCCUCUUAGCGUCCUCCGGUGGUCUCCUCUGCUUCCGUAACCGCAAUUCCGAUUACCCUACCUUGAUCGUCUGUAAUCCUGUCACUAGCUCCCAUAGGGUCUUGCCCGAUAUGCUUCAAAUUCAAUACAUCGAUAUCGUCGGCAUGGUCGCCGAUGGGAUCACCAAUUCGUACAAGAUUUUGGUCACUGGAACCCCUGAACCUGAUUCAAACGAGAGCAUUACCGAAGUCUACGAUUCUAGAACACAGCGGUGGGAACACCAUUGUCGGUCCCAGCUGGAAUUCUUGCAGUUUUGGUAUGAAGUUCAUGCGAUUUGGCACGACGGUUUCUUCUAUUGCCUCGCGACUCCGCUCAAUACUUCGCAAGGUUACCGCCUGAUAGCUUAUGAUAUGGGGAAGAGGGAAUGGACUGAUUUGAAUGUGAAAAUGCCAGCGGGUGAUCUCCGGUGCCCGUCGUUGCUUAUCUGUCGGGGGAAGUUACUUUUGGCGGGGAAAAUUGUGGAGGAUUAUUUGAUUAGGAGUGUUUGUAUAUGGGAGCUUAACAUGGAGAGCAUGCGGUGGGUGAAGGUGGAGGAGAUGCCCGAUGAGGUAUUGAAGAAGAUACAUUCGCCGCACUCGGUGUUGAUUCAGUGCCAAGGUCAUGGAGAUCUCGUGUGCUUUAGUACGCACCGGGGAUGGCAGUCGAUUAUCUACAAUUUGGCGGAGCGAACUUGGCAUUGGCUGCCGGAGAAUGAUGUUUGUGUACGGAGCAAGUCGCAGGCAAUGGGAAGGAAUAACCUUGUUGGGUUGCCGUAUGAACCUAGCUUAUCCGCAAGAAUAUGAGUUGUUGCUGGAAUGAAGUGGGUACAUGAAUUGGUUGGUGCAUGAACGUGCUAUAUAUAUACCUCUGUGGAAUUCUUGCUAACCAUCAGGAUCACUCUUUUCUGUUCAUUAGUGUCUCGUCUGUGAACUACCAACAUCUAUCUGUUCUCCUCAUUUCAAUUCUUUGUUAGUUGUGGGAAAUGUUCAUGUGAUAUAAUGUUGCUUUACUCAGUUUGUUUGUGUAAAGGUGACAAUUUGUUUAUAUGUGAUUGACAUGAUGCCUAACAUUAAUUCUCUAACUAUAUAUCUGUUAGGUUUUCCUUUUGUUAAUCUAGCUUUGUGGAUCCGGAAAGGCUUAGGUGAAAGCUUAUUCUCUGGAUUGAUUUCUGUUGGAGAGCUUGAAACAAUGAUAUUUUGCUAUUUCUACAUGUUGCUUAAUUUUUAAUGCUUGUUUUAUAGGUUUCAGCAAAUCCUUGAUGAUCAAAACAAGAGAGGGAUGUAUGUAAUCUGUUCUGGGAGUCUGUUAUCUUGGUUUUAUUUUGGUAGAAUGACUUUUUAGCCAAUAACCUUUAAAGACAUGGUUGAUUUCUAUAUAGCUUAGGUUUGUUGGUUUACCAUAAAAAUAAAAGAAAUACGGAGUCCUGAUCUUUAAAACAAAGAAUACUGAAUCCUUUGAUCCUAAUCUGUUGGUUUGCACAAGGCUAGACCAUUUUAGUCAGAAGCUGUUGGUCACAUGCUUGAGUUUACUGAUUUGGUGCCAGAAAUCAGUUUAAGAGGGUUGGAAAUGUAUAUCUAAGCGAGAAAGAAGAGAUACAUCUUACAUAUGUUGUAUUUAUAUUUUGUCUUGGGACUAGAAAUAAGACAAUUUUUCUAGGAGUAUUAUUUGGUUAUAUCUUUGUUUGAAUUGAAAAUGGUCAUAUUUGUUGUUUUCCUUGUUAGAAUCUUGCAAUGUCCUCAAUGACCAAACUUGGUGGAUUUGGGUGGUAGUUGUUAAUUUGGCUUGUGUUGUUGUGUUGGGUGUUGUGAGUUGGCUGUGAGAUUGGUUUAGGGGGUUGCUUUAUCUUUAUUUGUGGGUGAUAGCUUAUCACCUCCUUGAUUCUUCUUUCUUAGUUCUUAAUAAAUUUUCUUUUUUAUUUAUAAGAAAAAAAAACCAAACUUGGCAGUAGCCCAAUUUUCUCCUCUAUCAGUAGACACCUUCUCUUUCUUCAUCCUCAUGUAGGUCUUCUUCAUUAUUGUAUAUUCUUUUUCAUGUAUGUGAAAAUAUUUGUGUGUUUGUCUUCUUAAAUAACAUAAGCAUGGGGGGGGGGAUAUGGUAGGUUUCUGCGUGAGGUUAUUUAUGUUCUCAUCAAUUCCAAUUGGACCAUAAUGCAUGGUAAUAGUGCACAUGAAGGGGAAGCCAGCUGAAGAUAAUUGUGAUUUAUAAACACAAGGCCCAUGAAGUCCUGAUCAAUAGGGCUUGAUCUCUGCUGAAUUGAUAAGAGCAUCUGACAAUCAAUGAGUUUGUGGUGGGGGAAUUUUGAGUGGCAGUGGCUUAAGUUAGCUUGUGGACCUGGUGAUGAUGAGUCAAAAUGAUAACCAUCAAUGAUGGAUGGUGGCUAACAAUAGGAUUUAUUCUGCAUCAAGACGGGAAGAUAACUUUGUGAUGGAAGUUUGACAUGGUUACUCAUUAAGAGAGGGCUGCCUAAGAAUUUGAGUUGAACAGGAAUAUUAGCUUGUAGGCCCAUAAUUACAAGUUACUGUGUUGUCUGCAUGGCGAUUUUUAGAGAUAGUAGCAACUGGUUGAAAAUUGGAAGCUAAUGGUAGCCUUUUUUGUUUGAUCUUUGUAUGGAUCCCUCUUGAGAAUGUUGGAACAGCUCUUUUACAAUUCUUCUUUGCUGGCUUUCCUGGCUCCCCCAUGGAAGCUUUCCUUGGGUUUUCUUUUCUUGACAAGAUUCUGUCAACCAUUUUAUUUAUAUUAUUAAUUAGGAAUUAAUAUUUAGACUCAUCGUAUGUCACUAUAGCAAGUAACUAGUGGAUCAUCUUCCUUAGUUUUAAGGUGGGCAAUAGCAUUUAGAACCUUUUCUCCUCAGCUUUUGGUAUUCAGUUGAGAGUUCCCUCCACCUUUCUGAUGAUAGAUUUCACCACAGUAGUUCUGUUGUCAAAGAUCCUUGAGCUUCUCUCCUUCCACACUGUCCCCAGAGGAUUCUUCCUCUAAGUUUCAGCCCUGUCAUGAGCGAGGAAGAUACCAGCAUUUGAAGAUCUUUGGAGGCGACCCAAACCCAAACUGUGCAGAACAAUUGAAAUAAGUAGGCCCAUAUUUAUUAUGUCCAUCUGCAUUGGAUGAAAAGGUGCUGGACUAAUUCAGCUUCCUGAUUACAUAAGCAGCAUACAUUAUCUGGCAGCUUUCCUUUGUUGAUUAGAUGAUCUUAGGUUAAAAUCCUGUCAAGGACUGCCAUCCAUGUGAGAAAUGAGACUUUUGAUGGUGCCUCUAACCUCCAAAUCCAGCUCCAUUGGACUGGAUGACCUUCCUACUCCAUGACUUCAUAAAAAGAUUUAACAGAAAAGCACCCACUCCUUUCAUCCUUUCUUAUUCAGGUAUCUGAGGAUUCUGUAAGAGAUUGGUUGGGAUGGCUAUCAAGAAAUAUGCCCUUGAGGAUUCAAUGAGUUAGAAGAUUGGCUAAUGGGACGGCCAACUCAUUAGCAACGCAAGGGGUGAAUAAGGAUCAUUUAUAUUGGGCUCAAGUGUAAUUUUAAUCUGUGUUGUAUGUGAUUGGUUCGGUAUAUCCAGUACAGAAAUAAGCUAUUCUACCUCCUAAUCAUUCAGGUUUCUUUUGAAAUGGGGUGUCCACAUUAUCUUACUCUUUCCAGUUCAUAGUAUUCCUAAAAUAAUGGCAUUUUGGUUUACAGCAAAACUAUAUAACAUGGGAUAAGGCACAGAUAGUGGUCUGUCAACAAGCCGCAUAUUCUUCCGAAAAUAAGUAUGAUUGCCUCUAUCUGGUUUAAGAGUUAUUUGGGCCUUGAAAUCUUCCCUCAUUAUCCCUUUCAAAAUACUUAUCCCAUGUGUAUUUUGGGUUGGCAGUGACUCCUGCUCCAUGUGUCAAAAUGGCAGUUUGUACAUUGUUGAUGUUUUGGACACAUGGAUCUCUCUCUCUCUCUCUCUCUCUCUCCCCCUUCCUCCCUCUCCCUCUGUCUCUAAAGUAUCACACCACACCUUGGAGCAAACUAAGGCAUUUACGGCCUGGAGUUGCAAUAAGAAAUCCCUAAACUUGACUUAAGAAAGCUGCAAAUAGUGAAUAAAGCAUUCUACCAGCAUAUUUUAUGGUCAUCCACAUUGUCCAUGUCUUGGAUCCUGGGCAAUAUGAGAUCCCCGUAUCAAUGUCCAUGUUUGUAUCCAUGUAAAGUAUUAAAAGGAAUCUUUUGGCAGAAUAUAUUUAUAGGAUUUCCAUUCUUGGCCUCACUGCAUGGUGUAUCACAGCAUACCAUUUAUUUAAACAUAAACCAAACCCACCUGUUCUUUUUCUAUUUCGAGUUGUGCACUAGUUAGCUGGUAGUGUUGUUACUUUUCCUUAGAUGUUUGGUUGCCUUGUUGACUCGAUGGAUUUAGCAUCAACAGCAUUUCCAUUAUUUAUCAAACAAGAGUUGCUCAACUUGUUCAUACUUGAAGGUCUUUCAUGCUUACCUAGUUGAUUUGGAGAGUCAAUUCUUGAUUGGCCCUGAAAACCAUUUUGGCUGGUCUGGAUUUGGAGUGCCUGCUGGAUUAGGAGAUUCUGUUUUUGCUCAACUUCGUAUUUGAGAACCCUCUUCUUCCUUAUUAAUUACUAUAGAGAUGUUUUAUCUAGGCUCUCUAACUGUAGAUUUCAGUUUCAUUCAGUUUAAAUUUUGAUUAAACUCAACUCAAAACAGCCUUAAUCCUAACUAUUUGGGGUUGGCCACAAGAAUCCUUUCUUGCAAUUGUGUUCUAUCAAGAGCCAUGUGUUUUUCAAGUUACUAGUCUGUAAAUCAUUUUGUACCAUUCUUCUUGCUCUUUUAGAACCUUCUAUUUGUACCAAUUCACUCACUGAUGCAAUCAUUGGUUUCUCUAAAUCUGAAAUUCAAAUUUGAACUGGAUAAAGUUACUAAUCUAAGGUAUUAGUAAUCCUCCAUUUUUUCUCCUGUUUCCACUGCUACCGAGUUUGUCAAGUUCUUACAUCCAAGCUGCCUAGUUCACUUUCCUAUUUAAUUGAUGAGGAAUUACAUCUUGGAUUUGUAUUCUGAGCCUGUUAAAAAUCAUGUUUUAGUUCUAGAAAGUGCUGCAAGAUUGUUUUCCUAAAAGAAUUCCAAAAGACUUUGUUCUAGUGGAUUCUGAGAAGAGACAGGAUUAAGUGGAAUUUGAAGGGAAGUGUACAGGAAGCUUGAAGGUUUAGGUAUGUUACUGAUGUCAUGGCCUAUCACAUCACAGAUAUUGGAACAUUGCACGACUCACAAGUCAUGAUGCCUCUUGGGCACAGAUAAACAAAGGUGUUAGGAGACCAUUUACCUUAAAUUUGGUUGCUUUUCUAUUUGAUUCUUGCUCCUUUUAGUUUUAUUUUCAGUUCUCACAGUGCUCAAUAAACUAGUCGUGUAGAAGGUCAUCAACCAGACUGUUUAAAUUUGCUUCUUCUUUUACCACCAUGGAAGAAGCUAGAUUCAAAUAUGUUCGUGCUAAGCCGAAACUAUGUCCAUUGCUUAUUAAAGUACCUCUAAGCAGAGAAGUUGCACUUGUUCA